rnacentral:rRNA from 1 species
GAUGAACGCUGGCGGCGUGCCUAACACAUGCAAGUCGAACGAGAUGCGUAUCGGAAAGCUUCGGCCGGAAGAUGCGUUAUCUAGUGGCGGACGGGUGAGUAACACGUGGGUAACCUGCCUUAUGGAGGGGGAUAACAGAGAGAAAUCACUGCUAAUACCGCAUAAGCACACAUUGCUGCAUGGCAGAGUGUGAAAAGAUUUAUCGCCAUAAGAUGGACCCGCGUCUGAUUAGCCAGUUGGCAGGGUAAAAGCCUACCAAAGCAACGAUCAGUAGCCGAUCUGAGAGGAUGACCGGCCACAUUGGGACUGAGACACGGCCCAAACUCCUACGGGAGGCAGCAGUGGGGAAUAUUGCACAAUGGGGGAAACCCUGAUGCAGCGACGCCGCGUGAGUGAAGAAGUAUUUCGGUAUGUAAAGCUCUAUCAGCAGGGAAGAUAAUGACAGUACCUGACUAAGAAGCCCCGGCUAACUACGUGCCAGCAGCCGCGGUAAUACGUAGGGGGCAAGCGUUAUCCGGAUUUACUGGGUGUAAAGGGAGCGUAGACGGAGUGGCAAGUCUGAAGUGAAAACCCUGGGCUUAACCUGGGGACUGCUUUGGAAACUGUUAAUCUAGAGUGUUGGAGAGGUAAGUGGAAUUCCUGGUGUAGCGGUGAAAUGCGUAGAUAUCAGGAAGAACACCGGACGCGAAGGCGGCUUACUGGACAAUAACUGACGUUGAGGCUCGAAAGCGUGGGGAUCAAACAGG